rnacentral:rRNA from 1 species
GCACGGGGGCAACCCUGGUGGCGAGUGGCGAACGGGUGAGUAAUACAUCGGAACGUGUCCUGUAGUGGGGGAUAGCCCGGCGAAAGCCGGAUUAAUACCGCAUACGCUCUACGGAGGAAAGGGGGGGAUCUUAGGACCUCCCGCUACAGGGGCGGCCGAUGGCAGAUUAGCUAGUUGGUGGGGUAAAGGCCUACCAGGCGACGAUCUGUAGCUGGUCUGAGAGGACGACCGCCACACUGGGACUGAGACACGGCCCAGACUCCUACGGGAGGCAGCAGUGGGGAAUUUUGGACAAUGGGGGCAACCCUGAUCCAGCAAUGCCGCGUGUGUGAAGAAGGCCUUCGGGUUGUAAAGCACUUUUGUCCGGAAAGAAAACGUCGUGGUUAAUACCCGUGGUGGCUGACGGUACCGGAAGAAUAAGCACCGGCUAACUACGUGCCAGCAGCCGCGGUAAUACGUAGGGUGCAAGCGUUAAUCGGAAUUACUGGGCGUAAAGCGUGCGCAGGCGGUCCGCUAAGACAGAUGUGAAAUCCCCGGGCUUAACCUGGGAACUGCAUUUGUGACUGGCGGGCUAGAGUAUGGCAGAGGGGGUAGAAUUCCACGUGUAGCAGUGAAAUGCGUAGAGAUGUG